rnacentral:rRNA from 1 species
GAGAGCUUGCUCUCUGGAUCAGUGGCGAACGGGUGAGUAACACGUGAGCAAUCUGCCCCUGACUCUGGGAUAAGCGCUGGAAACGGCGUCUAAUACCGGAUACGAGCUGCGAAGGCAUCUUCAGCAGCUGGAAAGAACUUCGGUCAGGGAUGAGCUCGCGGCCUAUCAGCUAGUUGGUGAGGUAAUGGCUCACCAAGGCGUCGACGGGUAGCCGGCCUGAGAGGGUGACCGGCCACACUGGGACUGAGACACGGCCCAGACUCCUACGGGAGGCAGCAGUGGGGAAUAUUGCACAAUGGGCGCAAGCCUGAUGCAGCAACGCCGCGUGAGGGACGACGGCCUUCGGGUUGUAAACCUCUUUUAGCAGGGAAGAAGCGAAAGUGACGGUACCUGCAGAAAAAGCACCGGCUAACUACGUGCCAGCAGCCGCGGUAAUACGUAGGGUGCAAGCGUUAUCCGGAAUUAUUGGGCGUAAAGAGCUCGUAGGCGGUUUGUCGCGUCUGCUGUGAAAACUGGGGGCUCAACCCCCAGCCUGCAGUGGGUACGGGCAGACUAGAGUGCGGUAGGGGAG